rnacentral:rRNA from 1 species
AUUGAACGCUGGCGGCAGGCCUAACACAUGCAAGUCGAGCGAGCGGCGGACGGGUGAGUAAUGUCUGGGAAACUGCCUGAUGGAGGGGGAUAACUACUGGAAACGGUAGCUAAUACCGCAUACCAUCAGAUGUGCCCAGAUGGGAUGAGCGAGUCGGUGGGGUAACGGCUCACCUAGGCGACGAUCCCUAGCUGGUCUGAGAGGAUGACCAGCCACACUGGAACUGAGACACGGUCCAGACUCCUACGGUAGGCAGCAGUGGGGAAUAUUGCACAAUGGGCGCAAGCCUGAUGGAGCCAUGCCGCGUGUGUGAAGAAGGCCUUCGGGUUGUAAAGCACUUUCAGCGGGGAGGCGUUACCCGAAGAAGAAGCACCGGCUAACUCCGUGCCAGCCGCCGCGGUAAUUC